rnacentral:rRNA from 1 species
AGCGAACGCUAGCGGCGGGCCUAACACAUGCAAGUCGAGCGGGGGAGCAAUCCCCAGCGGCGGACGGGUGAGUAACACGUAGGUUAUGUGCCCUUUGGUGGGGAAUAACCGUGGGAAACCAUGGCUAAUUCCGCAUAUCGAGCGAAAUCUUGAAAGCCUUCGGGCGCCAAAGGAGCAACCUGCGGCCCAUUAGCUUGUUGGUAGGGUAACGGCCUACCAAGGCGAUGAUGGGUAGCUGGUCUGAGAGGAUGAUCAGCCACACUGGAACUGAGACACGGUCCAGACUCCUACGGGAGGCAGCAGUGGGGAAUAUUGCGCAAUGGGCGAAAAGCCUGACGCAGCCACGCCGCGUGAGUGAUG